rnacentral:rRNA from 1 species
UCAGACGAUGCGUCAUGCAUAUCAAUAAGCGGAGGAAAAGAAACUAACAAGGAUUCCCCUAGUAACGGCGAGUGAAGCGGGAAGAGCUCAAAUUUGAAAUCUUAAAGGGUUUCCCUUUACGAAUUGUAGUUUAAAGAAGUGUUUUCUGUUAGAGGUUUCGGUAAAAGUUCUUUGGAAUAGGACAUCAUAGAGGGUGAAAAUCCCGUAUUUGACCGUUACUUUCUAGCUUUGUGAUACACUUUCAAAGAGUCGGAUUGUUUGGGAAUGCAGUCCAAAAUGGGUGGUAAAUUUCAUCUAAAGCUAAAUAUUGGCGAGAGACCGAUAGCGAACAAGUACCGUGAGGGAAAGAUGAAAAGAACUUUGAAAAGAGAGUUAAACAGUACGUGAAAUUGUCAAAAGGGAAGCGUUUGACACCAGUGUUGUUUUUCUGAAAAUCAAUUAAAGAACUGUUUAUGCUAAGCUGUUUAGACUUUAUCAGCUAACUGUUUAGUUUUGAGCUUUUCUUUAAUGCACUUUUCAGUUAACAAGUCAACAUCAAUUUCUUUUGCUGUAAAAAAGCUUGAGGAAGGUGGCUUGAGAUUCGUCUUAAGUGUUUAUAGCCUCUUGCCUAUGCAGUCGGAGAGAUUGAGGUCUGCAGCGUAGAUCCUUCGGGGCUAAAUGCAUUUGUGCUAAGUUAUAGCAUUUUAUAGACAACUUGUUGACUAUGAUUUGUCUUGUAGCUUACUCGCUUAUGUUAUUUUACCUACGCUUAGGAUGUUGAAUCUGUGCGAGACUAC